rnacentral:rRNA from 1 species
GGAGGGAUCAUUACUGAGUUUACGCUCUAUAACCCUUUGUGAACAUACCUAUAACUGUUGCUUCGGCGGGUAGGGUCUCCGCGACCCUCCCGGCCUCCCGCCUCCGGGCGGGUCGGCGCCCGCCGGAGGAUAACCAAACUCUGAUUUAACGACGUUUCUUCUGAGUGGUACAAGCAAAUAAUCAAAACUUUUAACAACGGAUCUCUUGGUUCUGGCAUCGAUGAAGAACGCAGCGAAAUGCGAUAAGUAAUGUGAAUUGCAGAAUUCAGUGAAUCAUCGAAUCUUUGAACGCACAUUGCGCCCGCCAGCAUUCUGGCGGGCAUGCCUGUUCGAGCGUCAUUUCAACCCUCAAGCUCUGCUUGGUGUUGGGGCCCUACAGCUGAUGUAGGCCCUCAAAGGUAGUGGCGGACCCUCCCGGAGCCUCCUUUGCGUAGUAACUUUACGUCUCGCACUGGGAUCCGGAGGGACUCUUGCCGUAAAACCCCCCAAUUUUCCAAAGGUUGACCUCGGAUCAGGUAGGAAUACCCGCUGAACUUAAGC